AUGCUCAAAAUUCUCCAAGCCAGGCUUCAGCAAUACGUGAACCGCGAACUUCCAGAUGUCCAAGCUGGUUUUAGAAAAGCCAGAGGAACCAGAAAUCAAAUUGCCAACAUCCGCUGGAUCAUGGAAAAAACAAGAGAGUUCCAGAAAAAUAUCUAUUUCUGCUUUAUUCACUAUGCUAUAGCCUUUGACUGUGUGGAUCACAAUAAACUGUGGAAAAUUCUGAAAGAGAUGGGAAUACCAGACCACCUGACCUGCCUCUUGAGAAAUCUGUAUGCAGGUCAGGAAGCAACAAUUAGAACUGGACAUGGAACAACAGACUGGUUCCAAAUAGGAAAAGGAGUACGUCAAGGCUGUAUAUUGUCGUCCUGCUUAUUUAACUUCUAUGCAGAGUACACCAUGAGAAACGCUGGACUGGAAGAAGCACAAGCUGGAAUCAAGAUUGCCAGGAGAAAAAUCAAUAAACUCAGAUAUGCAGAUGACACCACCCUUAUGGCAGAAAGUGAAGAGGAACUAAAAAGCCUCUUGAUGAAAGUGAAAGAGGAGAGUAAAAAAGUUGGCUUAAAGCUCAACAUUCAGAAAACGAAGAUCAUGGCAUCCAGUCCCAUCACUUCAUGGCAAAUAGAUGGGGAAACAGUGGAAACAGUGUCAGACUUUAUUUUUUGGGGCUCCAAAAUCACUGCAGAUGGUGAUUGCAGCCAUGAAAUUAAAAGACGCUUACUCCUUGGAAAGAAAGUUAUGACCAACCUAGACAGCAUAAUGAAAACCAGAGACAUUACUUUGCCGACUAAGGUCUGUCUAGUCAAGGCUAUGGUUUUUCCUGUGGUCGUGGAUGGAUGCGAGAGUUGGACUGUGAAGAAGGCUGAGUGCCAAAGAAUUGAUGCUUUUGAACUGUGGUGUUGGAGAAGACUCUUGAGAGUCCCUUGGACUGCAAGGAGAUCCAACCAGGGCAUUCUGAAGGAGAUCAGCCCUGGGAUUUCUUUGGAAGGAAUGAUGCUAAAGCUGAAACUCCAGUACUUUGGCCACCUCAUGCAAAGAGUUGACUCAUUGGAAAAGACUCUGAUGCUGGGAAGGAUUGGGGGCAGGAGGAGAAGGGGACAACAGAAGAUGAGAUGGCUGGAUGGCAUCACUGACUCGAUGGACCUGAGUCUGAGUAAAGUCCAGGAGUUGGUGAUGGACAGGGAGGCCUGGCAUGCUGCGAUUCAUGGGGUCACAAAGAGUCGGACACAACUGAGCAACUGA
rnacentral:lncRNA from 1 species